UCGCCGCCGUGGCCGGUGCUGCAGUGGGAGAUGAGGGUGAGGUCCCAGAAGAGGACACAGCGCUGAUCCACGCAUCAGCGAUGGCCCCGAUGGCCUUGGGCAGCUGGGUCUCAGGACAGCAGAGCUCAGGACUCUCGGGGGUUGACAUGGAGGGAGGGGUCCCCUCAGGGUACGAGCCAGCUCAGGCUGGUGGAGGCUGGCUGUAGGGACACGCAGAUUGCGAGGCAGAGAAACCUCAGCUUUGUUGGAGGCAGCAGCUUCUCCCAGCGACGGGACCCGGGAAGAGAACAUGCCCGGCUAAGGGAACCGGGCGAACCUGGCCAGGCCGUGCUGUCGGCGCGUCCGGCUGACAGCUCUCUCUUCUCGAACCUUCUCUGCCUGCCUCUCUGCUCUUAAAGCACCUGGCUUUUUGCGCCCUCACGGGCCCAGACCGACAAGCCCAGGAGGCCCUGCUCGCCUGUGCUCCUCACCAACCUUCCAGAAACAGGAAAGGCCCUCCGAGCCGCCAGCCCAGCCCGUAGAACAAGCCGUUCCCAGUCCCAGGUGGAGUUUCUGGCCUGACCCACACGCAGACGCCGCACAUGGGUGGUCUGGUGGAUCAGAGGAGGAGCAGAAAGACGAUAGCAGGCUCCGGAGACCCACGCAGCCUGGGUCUUCCUCCACAGCCUCAGUCUUUCCGGCUGGGAAAUGGGGAAACGGCCUCUGCUUCACCAGCUGGUGAGGAUUUUAUUGGUUAAGGCCUGGAACAGACUUCAAGGGCACUUGGCUCCCGGAAAGAUGUUAGGUAUGUUAUAUAUAAUGUGACAAAGUGCCACAAACCUGGAGGCUUAGACAACAGAAGGCUCGUCUCCAGUUCCGGAGCCCAGAUGUCUGACAGAAGGUGCCCGAGGGCUGCUGCCCUGUGGGGACUGAGGGGAGGCUCUGUCCUCGGCUUGUAAACCUCCGCCCUCACCCUCACGGCGUUCUCCCUGGGCGUGUGCACCUGUCUCUGUGUCCAACUCUGCCCUUUUUUAUAAGAACACAGAGAUCUGGGACCGCGGCCCACCCGGUGAGCUCAAGCUAGCUUGGGUCUCUCCGAAGACGAUUUCCAAAUCAGGUCCCGUGAGCAACUGGCGGGGCUUGGCGCCGCAGGCUCUUCCCGGGGCACCCGGGGACCGUGGCGCGGGCACGUGAGGGUAGCAGCCGCGGUGAAGGCGCGGGGCUUUGGGCCCGAGACUCAGCAAGAC
ensembl:lncRNA